ACGCUGCAGAGAGUCUGUGAGGGCGGCUCAUUGUCUAUAACGAUGAACAUAAUAAUUGCUCUUCUGUGUGUUCUGACAAAUCAGGUCAUAAGCCAAACCGAAGAUAUUUUUCCUGCAAAGAUCCUGGCGCAGCAGACGAUUAUAAGUGAAAACAGUGACCUUUAUGUAACAUGCAGCACAUUUGGGAGAAAGAAAGACUCCAUGGUUCAUGUUUAUUUGUUAAUAAAUGGGCGCGGAAUCCAGUAUCUCACCCAGAAACAAGAUCAA